rnacentral:rRNA from 1 species
UACGUAGGGUCCGAGCGUUGUCCGGAAUUACUGGGCGUAAAGAGCUCGUAGGUGGUUUGUCGCGUUGUUCGUGGAAACUCACAGCUCAACUGUGGGCGUGCGGGCGAUACGGGCAGACUAGAGUACUGCAGGGGAGACUGGAAUUCCUGGUGUAGCGGUGGAAUGCGCAGAUAUCAGGAGGAACACCGGUGGCGAAGGCGGGUCUCUGGGCAGUAACUGACGCUGGAGGAGCGAAAGCGUGGGGAGCGAACAGG